GAAUUGAUAAUAUCUAUAUGGUUGAUCUUGCAAACUCCUCACACGAAUAUGUUGAUUGUUUAAUAAGCAAAGAGGAUAACUCUUAGCUAUGGCAUCGUAGAAUAGCACACAUGAACAUGCAUCUUUUGAACAAGCUUCGUUCUCAAAACUUAGUAGUUGGUCUUCCCCGUUUAAAGUUUGAAAAUGAUUCUAUUUGCGAUUC
rnacentral:lncRNA from 1 species